CGCGCGAUACAGGGUGACAGCCCCGUACACAAAAAUGCACAUACUGUGAGCUCGAUGAGUAGGGCGGGACACGUGGUAUCCUGUCUGAAUAUGGGGGGACCAUCCUCCAAGGCUAAAUACUCCUGACUGACCGAUAGUGAACCAGUACCGUGAGGGAAAGGCGAAAAGAACCCCGGCGAGGGGAGUGAAAAAGAACCUGAAACCGUGUACGUACAAGCAGUGGGAGCACGCUUAGGCGUGUGACUGCGUACCUUUUGUAUAAUGGGUCAGCGACUUAUAUUCUGUAGCAAGGUUAACCGAAUAGGGGAGCCGAAGGGAAACCGAGUCUUAACUGGGCGUUAAGUUGCAGGGUAUAGACCCGAAACCCGGUGAUCUAGCCAUGGGCAGGUUGAAGGUUGGGUAACACUAACUGGAGGACCGAACCGACUAAUGUUGAAAAAUUAGCGGAUGACUUGUGGCUGGGGGUGAAAGGCCAAUCAAACCGGGAGAUAGCUGGUUCUCCCCGAAAGCUAUUUAGGUAGCGCCUCGUGAAUUCAUCUCCGGGGGUAGAGCACUGUUUCGGCAAGGGGGUCAUCCCGACUUACCAACCCGAUGCAAACUGCGAAUACCGGAGAAUGUUAUCACGGGAGACACACGGCGGGUGCUAACGUCCGUCGUGAAGAGGGAAACAACCCAGACCGCCAGCUAAGGUCCCAAAGUCAUGGUUAAGUGGGAAACGAUGUGGGAAGGCCCAGACAGCCAGGAUGUUGGCUUAGAAGCAGCCAUCAUUUAAAGAAAGCGUAAUAGCUCACUGGUCGAGUCGGCCUGCGCGGAAGAUGUAACGGGGCUAAACCAUGCACCGAAGCUGCGGCAGCGACGCUGAUGCGUUGUUGGGUAGGGGAGCGUUCUGUAAGCCUGUGAAGGUGUGCUGUGAGGCAUGCUGGAGGUAUCAGAAGUGCGAAUGCUGACAUAAGUAACGAUAAAGCGGGUGAAAAGCCCGCUCGCCGGAAGACCAAGGGUUCCUGUCCAACGUUAAUCGGGGCAGGGUGAGUCGACCCCUAAGGCGAGGCCGAAAGGCGUAGUCGAUGGGAAACAGGUUAAUAUUCCUGUACUUGGUGUUACUGCGAAGGGGGGACGGAGAAGGCUAUGUUGGCCGGGCGACGGUUGUCCCGGUUUAAGCGUGUAGGCUGGUUUUCCAGGCAAAUCCGGAAAAUCAAGGCUGAGGCGUGAUGACGAGGCACUACGGUGCUGAAGCAACAAAUGCCCUGCUUCCAGGAAAAGCCUCUAAGCAUCAGGUAACAUCAAAUCGUACCCCAAACCGACACAGGUGGUCAGGUAGAGAAUACCAAGGCGCUUGAGAGAACUCGGGUGAAGGAACUAGGCAAAAUGGUGCCGUAACUUCGGGAGAAGGCACGCUGAUAUGUAGGUGAAGCGACUUGCUCGUGGAGCUGAAAUCAGUCGAAGAUACCAGCUGGCUGCAACUGUUUAUUAAAAACACAGCACUGUGCAAACACGAAAGUGGACGUAUACGGUGUGACGCCUGCCCGGUGCCGGAAGGUUAAUUGAUGGGGUCAGCGCAAGCGAAGCUCUUGAUCGAAGCCCCGGUAAACGGCGGCCGUAACUAUAACGGUCCUAAGGUAGCGAAAUUCCUUGUCGGGUAAGUUCCGACCUGCACGAAUGGCGUAAUGAUGGCCAGGCUGUCUCCACCCGAGACUCAGUGAAAUUGAACUCGCUGUGAAGAUGCAGUGUACCCGCGGCAAGACGGAAAGACCCCGUGAACCUUUACUAUAGCUUGACACUGAACAUUGAGCCUUGAUGUGUAGGAUAGGUGGGAGGCUUUGAAGUGUGGACGCCAGUCUGCAUGGAGCCGGCCUUGAAAUACCACCCUUUAAUGUUUGAUGUUCUAACGUUGACCCGUGAUCCGGGUUGCGGACAGUGUCUGGUGGGUAGUUUGACUGGGGCGGUCUCCUCCUAAAGAGUAACGGAGGAGCACGAAGGUUGGCUAAUCCUGGUCGGACAUCAGGAGGUUAGUGCAAUGGCAUAAGCCAGCUUGACUGCGAGCGUGACGGCGCGAGCAGGUGCGAAAGCAGGUCAUAGUGAUCCGGUGGUUCUGAAUGGAAGGGCCAUCGCUCAACGGAUAAAAGGUACUCCGGGGAUAACAGGCUGAUACCGCCCAAGAGUUCAUAUCGACGGCGGUGUUUGGCACCUCGAUGUCGGCUCAUCACAUCCUGGGGCUGAAGUAGGUCCCAAGGGUAUGGCUGUUCGCCAUUUAAAGUGGUACGCGAGCUGGGUUUAGAACGUCGUGAGACAGUUCGGUCCCUAUCUGCCGUGGGCGCUGGAGAACUGAGGGGGGCUGCUCCUAGUACGAGAGGACCGGAGUGGACGCAUCACUGGUGUUCGGGUUGUCAUGCCAAUGGCACUGCCCGGUAGCUAAAUG
rnacentral:rRNA from 1 species